CACACACACAUUCUAGUUGACAGACCACCAAGUCGCAUUGUUAUUAUGGUGACUGUCAACUCCAAAACUACCAAGUCCAGCAGAAUCUGGACUGGAAGUCAU